rnacentral:snRNA from 1 species
GAAUCUAAUGCAGCAGUAAUCUGUCUAUUACAUCUGUCUCUCCUUUGACGGCCAAUGGUUAAUUCUAGCUGAUGUGGCUAGCUGAACAGGUGUCCUCAUUCUCCCUUAUGUUCCAUGGAUAUUGUCACUGAAGAUAUAUAUUCAGUGGAAGGACAUAACUUUCCUAUCAGAGGACAAUUCUUUGGUUAAGAAUGUAUAAGUAACUGCUCUCCUUUAUUAGACAUUCAAACACGCUCUAAAUAUGUUUAGAGAACAUUGUCUCAGAUGUAUAUACCCAAUCAAGCUCUCUCUGCAUCAAUAGAAGUACAAGAAGUCUU